CUGGGAAGGACAACAACUCACUCUUUUUUAUGGCUGCACAGUAUUCCAUGGUGUAUGUGUGCCACAUUUUGGUUUUGUAAAGGAAAGACUGGGGUUUUGAUAUGGAUAUAAAUGUGGUGGGAUGAGGACAGGAUCCCUACUGUUUAGGGUGCUGCUGGGGAGAGUGGUGAGAAGAGACAGAGCCUCAGGUUAGAGGAAUGGACAUUUGGUUAGAAAUAGGACCUGGGUGGUCCUCAGGGACAGUCCUGGGGUGGGGUCUCCAGGCUGUAGCUGUGGAGGGUUCCCUCAAAAAGGAGAAGGGACUCUGUGCAUUGUCCCUGCAGGGCUUGGGAUGCAAUAGGAGUCUGAAGACGCUGAACUUUGGUUUGGAAGAAAUGAACAGGAAGAAAGGUCCACUCUGUGCUGGUGCAGCCACUGCCCAUCCUCAGCCAGGCCUUAGUCCAGCUGCACAGACAGUGGCUCAGAUCAAUAGUAAGUCAGGCGGGAAGCUUUAUAAACUGAGUUCA